UAGCUGGUAGCUCAGUGGGUAGAAGCCUGGCCCCCCAAACGCUCCACCGCGUCUGCCAGAGACCCGGGUUCAACUCCCGGCCAGCGAC